UAAGUCGUCAUGGCCUUUAUAGAAUGGGCAACACGCGUGAUACUAUGAACCAGACAAAUACAUAAAAAUGCUUAAUGCAUACCGACGCAGUCGGCAAGCCAGCGCCAAUGUUAUUGGCGCUGGCGCGGAAAAAGUGGUUUAAUCAUAAAAUGGAUUGGAUCUUGCAAAUAGAUUCAUGAAAAAGGAAUAGCGAGUAAUCGAGAAUCAUCAACGUCUCGGUGAAGAUAAUAGUAACUUUUCUUUAUAGUUACAACUACAAUAUUUUCACUUAAUUGUAGUUCUAAGGUCUAUGGUGCACACAUUGCCCGUCAUCCUCUAGAAGCAUUUAUACGUCGAAGGAGUAGGAGUGUCCGUAACACAACUAUACCGUAUCGUAUUGAUGUAACUGGAGGCAAGUCGUAACAAAGUUAGAGUAGGGGAACCUGC
rnacentral:rRNA from 12 species